rnacentral:sRNA from 1 species
AAGAACCAAAAAAAAAAAAAAAAAAAAAAAAAAAAAGCCUGAUCAUUGUCUUGGAGUGAAUGACACGGCUCCUCUGCCCUGUCUUCAGGCCCUGAGGUUCACAUUUCUUGUCUUCCGGCCCCGAGGUUUUCUUUUCUGACCCUCUCUCCCUGAGGCUUUUUUUAUCCACUGAGCUCUUCCUUUGUAGCUUCAGUUCAGUUUGGGUUCUUCUCUCCACCUUUUCCUGCCUCUUCACUGAACUCUGUGUUCACACCCUGAGUUGACCUCUUUAUUUAAUUUAUCGGUUUGUCUGUGUUUUCUUGAGCUCCAGUCAGGCUAUCCAGUCCUCCUUUUUCAGCUCACGCCAAGCGUUUCUGUGUAUUUUCUUUGAAUUCUUUGAACACUUCCGGCGUGUUGAUAAUUGUUCUUUUUUACGUUCUGCGUCUUGAAUUUCGUCGAAGUUGUUUUACUCAGCAGAAUGUCACCGUCUGUACUGCUGAUUGGAUCGGGGCCAGGUUGCCAGCCACGGGUAAUGAGGACACUUACAAAGCCCUAGGAAAGGUCUGCAUGGAAUGACCUGGGGCUUCACACCAAAUACGUGAGUGCUCCAUCUUGAAAAUAGACCAUCGGUCCCAGUCAAGCCUUGGGUGACCCAAGCCUUGGGUGACCGAGGUCUGAUGAGACAGACCCUCAGCACCCUGCGUGACCUGGGGCGGAGUUCUGCAGCGGGGUUGCUACUGAACGUUCACUCAAAGGUGCAGAGAGGUGAUAUACAGUGCUGUGCUACAGUGAGGGGUUUUCGGGGUAAACGUACGGAGCAGCGAUGCACCGUGGUAUAAGGCAAGAGACUGCACCUACUCCCACCAAAUUCAGGGGCUGGAGGUGUCUAUGCACCAACACCGCAUGUCACCGGAGAAAGGCUGUUCGCACGGCUUGUCCCCCAGCCCUUCCUUGUGAGUAUCAAGGGCUCCCGUGGUCUUUGUCCUUUAGACAAAGAGGGACAGGGGCCCUGGGUACCAAAAAGGUAAACUGAGGGCUGAAUGGAGGGAUGCCCACAACCGAACUCACUUCUACACCCCACACCUGACCCUUGCCCAGGCAAGCUGGGACUGCCUCUCUAUCUUCAGGGCUGUUCCUCUAGGACGCUGUCCCCGGAAGAGGAAGAGGUAGAGGAAGAGGAAGAGGACCUCUGGUUCAACAAUGGCGGCUGUCUGCGAAGCUCCCUUAGCCGGGUGUGGGUGCCUCAUGGAUGUCGGUAGUGAGAUCUGGAUGCUGUUCAUAAACUCGUGACCGAGUUUACUGGUUAGACCUCCUUACAGGGAGGUCUCAAGGUCCCUGUGGUAACUCCCUGAAGGAUGCUGAUGUCCUCCACCUCCAUUCAGCCUUGUGAAUUCUUCCCCACAACCCCCUUUGCCUGAUGAGCAGCCCAGCUGGGUGAAAGUUCAGGAAAGGCAGUUCAAGUGUGACAGCUUCUGGACAUGUCCUCUUGACCUUCUUGGGGCUCCUGUCACUGGUUUCCCUAUCCAGUGGUAGCACAGGCUAUGCUGUGCUGGUUUCUUUAUUCAGUGGUAGCACAGGCUAUGCUGUGUUUUCUGGCAGGUGCUCCUUUGCUAAGCACAGCCCCUCCUUGGAAGGGCACAUAGCAUCUCUGGGGUGGGGGAAGCAUCCGGGUUAUAGUCUUAUGGGAAUCCCAUAGUGUCUCACUGUGUAGUCCAGGCUGGUCUUGAACUUUUUGUCCUCUUGCCUCAGCCUUUCAGGCACUGGGAGCAGAGGCAGGCAACACCAUGACUUGGUUGGAAUCUCAGAUCUUAACCACUGACUCCUGGGCCCUUCUCGCUUUGGUCUGAGGUGGGAAGAACAUGCACUCUGUUGGGAGAAAUCAUCUCUCACAUCCAGCACAGCGUUCCCAUUGGUGCCUCCCACACACCCACUCAGCAACUCUAAAACACAAAUGCUUUCCAAAGGGCUGGGCCAUGGCAUAAAAUCUUUCCUUCUUUCUUGAUGUCAACAGUGGGGGAUGGGGUAGGGGUGGGGUGUAAGACACAGAGCUUAAUGCAAAACCAAGUCAGGGAAAGGGAAGGGUGGGGACCGGUGGCUUCUGGGGCAUAGACUGCAGCAGGUGCUGAGGCUUCCCUGAAAGGAUGAAUGGCUGUUUUCAAGCGAGGGCAAAGGCACCCAGGCAUCGGGUCAACAGAGUAUUCCCCACCUCUGUGCUCCCGGGAGAGGGGCCUUACUUCCUCAUCAGUAGUCAUUCCCUCCCCACAAAGUCGGGGGCUGUAUCUCACUGUCUGGACUUCCUUACUUGGGCACCAAUUGGCUGUCAUUCCAUUUAUUUUUCUCAACCCAAGACUUUCCCCAUGUGCCGUCCCUUCCACAGGAAGGCUAAACAGACUCUGAUUCCUUCCCUUCUCCCUUUCUUCUUGUGUCCAAAUAUUCCUGCACAUACUACAGAGGUCAUAAAAACAGAUCAAUGAAAAGAAGGACCCAAUAAUUCUAAGGCUUGAUUCAGGGACGGAGGUGGGGAGGGAAUCUGCUCAAUAAAAUGAAAGAGAAUUUAAAAGUCUCACGAACAAGGCCCAGCAUGGGGUCCCUGAUCAAAGGGCCAGGGAUGGAUGCUCCAGGCUCGGGGAGAGAUGGGCUCCCAGGGCUUGGUCUCCUCCCUGUCUACUUUCCACCACACAUACUAACCUUUGUCUGUCUGUCUCUCCCCUCUCCCCUCUCCUUUUCUCCUCAGAUCACCAGCUGACUGCUGAUAAGGGAGGCUGAGGGGGAGAAGGUGCGGACGGACUGCUCACCGAUGUCCUCAGUGGUCCCGUUUGCUAAGGAUGCGGGGAACACAGGCAUUCUUGGGGCUGUGACUCAGCAAACUUGAAUGUUUCUUAGAAAUGAAGACCAGAAGGUAAGUUUUUAGUUACUUUGUUUUAUGGGGGAGGAGUGUGAGGGAGAGACCAGCCUGCAUGUUUCUUAGAAGACCAGAAGGUAAGUUUUUGGUUACUUUGUUCUAUUGGGGGAGGAGCAUGAGAGAGAGACAGGCCCUGUCUAGGCAGAUGCGAAAUCUACCAAGGUUUAAGAGGUGACACAGCUUUGUCCAGAUGCUCUUGGUUCUGGACAGUCAAUGCCAGUUUUCAGUGCCAGGUCUCCUGGGCCAGGGUGGGUUUUAGAGCCUUCCAGAGGCCCACUUAUCAAGCAACCAAGCUCUUUCCCGGCAGCCCUAACAUGGAGUUAACCCUCUAAGAGACCCAGGGCAGCCUCUAUGAGCCAGCCAGAAUCUGCUCCACACCCCCCGAACUUUAUUACCCCCUCUCCCCAAAUUUAUAGCUGUGUGUCUGGCCCCAGCACCCACAAGCAGCUUAGAAAUUCCUUCUCAUCAGCUGAGAGGAUCUCCCAGGUUCCUUCCUCCGGCAGGUGGCUGAGAGGCAACAUCAUUUAUUUGCCAUUUAAAAUGCAGACAUGUCAUUAAAGAAUGUGUUCCGAUGGCUGCGAAGUCCAUCAGCAAUGAACGGGCACUGAUAACAAAGGUCUCAGGGCAGAAGACAGCUGAGGGUCUCCGUGAGAAAGCGAGCCAUCACUCAUUCCUCUUUGUGAGUUUAAGGUCCAUGCCUGUUUGCAUUGACUUACAUUUUUUGCUCAAUGCUUAUUUUCUGAUGGUCCUGCCCAGUUCUUCAAUGAUAAAGAUGUGCUUCAAGGGGGAGCCCUUCUAUGGUGGUUUGAAGAGGAGUGCUCCCAUAGAUUUGUGUGUUUGAAUGCUUGGCCCACACUCUUAAGAGGCGUGGCCUUGUUGGAGGAAGUGUGUCACUACAGGGGUGGGCUUUGAGGUUUCCUAUGACCAAGCCCAGUGUGGUACACAGUAUCCUUCUGCUGAACAAGAUGUAGAACUCUCAGCUCCUUCCCUAGCACCAUGUCUGCUUUUGUGCCACUAU